AGAAUCAACGCUGGCGGCGUGCCUAACACAUGCAAGUCGAACGAGAAAGUGGAGCAAUCCAUGAGUAAAGUGGCGCACGGGUGAGUAACACGUGACUAACCUACCCUUGAGUGGGGGAUAACCUAGGGAAACCUGGGCUAAUACCGCAUAAUACCUUCGGGUCAAAGGAGCAAUUCGCUUAAGGAGGGGGUCGCGGCCGAUUAGUUAGUUGGCGGGGUAAUGGCCCACCAAGGCGACGACGGGUAGCC
rnacentral:rRNA from 1 species